UUUGACCUCAGAUCAGGCAAGACUACCCGCUGAAUUUAAGCAUAUUAAUAAGCGGAGGAAAAGAAACUAACAAGGAUUCCCUCAGUAACGGCGAGUGAAGUGGGAAUGGCUCAAGCUUGAAAUC
rnacentral:rRNA from 2 species